AGUACAGCACGAAGAGGCCAACCCAGCCGCCCAUCCCUUUCUUCAUCUCGUUCGGCAGUCUCCCACACGGCGUUCGGCGAGGUGAGGAGGCGAUGGCCGAUGAGGCGAGGCGGCGAGGAGAGUUGGCGGCUAUAGAACAAGAUGGCGGUGAGAUUUAUUAGACAGUUCAAGUGAGCACACAUUAUUAACUGGCGAAAGCAUGCUCGCCGGAAUUCAUUACCGACGGUGAAGUCUUGUUGACUGCCGUUUAAUUAGGGGCAGACAUGGGAUUUCUUGGGGGUGGUGCUUUGAAUUCUUUAAUGCACAAGGAUUUGAAUUUGGCCUGGAAACUUCUGGUGGCAUUAUGACGAAAAUCAUCCCUAGGAAUACCACUCUUACCUACAUCCAAGUCUGGGGUUUUAUCAACUACAGCAUAUGGGCAAACCAGUGUAGAAACUUGAAAUUAAUGUGUUGCUGGCUUCUUACUCCAUUUUGUCUUUUUUGAUGUAUUGAUUAACUGUAAUUUUAUACUGUAAUAUGAUACAUAAAUUUGUGAUAUUAUGAAUGUAUUAGGAUUUUGUUUAAAAAUAAAAAAAUUGUUUACUAAA